AACGAACGCUGGCGGCAGGCUUAACACAUGCAAGUCGAGCGCCCCGCAAGGGGAGCGGCAGACGGGUGAGUAACGCGUGGGAAUCUACCCAUCUCUACGGAAUAACUCAGGGAAACUUGUGCUAAUACCGUAUACGCCCUUAGGGGGAAAGAUUUAUCGGAGAUGGAUGGGCCCGCGUUGGAUUAGCUAGUUGGUGGGGUAAAGGCCUACCAAGGCGACGAUCCAUAGCUGGUCUGAGAGGAUGAUCAGCCACAUUGGGACUGAGACACGGCCCAAACUCCUACGGGAGGCAGCAGUGGGAAAUAUUGGACAAUGGGCGCAAGCCUGAUCCAGCCAUGCCGCGUGAGUGAUGAAGGCCCUAGGGUUGUAAAGCUCUUUCACCGGAGAAGAUAAUGACGGUAUCCGGAGAAGAAGCCCCGGCUAACUUCGUGCCAGCAGCCGCAGUAA
rnacentral:rRNA from 1 species